rnacentral:miRNA from 1 species
CUCUUCAAGGGGUUGUGAAAUG